GGAUAAAAGCUACCCCGGGGAUAACAGGCUUAUCUCCCCCAAGAGUCCACAUCGACGGGGAGGUUUGGCACCUCGAUGUCGGCUCAUCGCAUCCUGGGGCUGUAGUCGGUCCCAAGGGUUGGGCUGUUCGCCCAUUAAAGCGGUACGCGAGCUGGGUUCAGAACGUCGUGAGACAGUUCGGUCCCUAUCCGUCGUGGGCGUAGGAAAUUUGAGAGGAGCUGUCCUUAGUACGAGAGGACCGGGAUGGACGCACCGCUGGUGUACCAGUUGUUCUGCCAAGGGCAUAGCUGGGUAGCUAUGUGCGGAAGGGAUAAGUGCUGAAAGCAUCUAAGCAUGAAGCCCCCCUCAAGAUGAGAUUUCCCAUAGCGUAAGCUAGUAAGAUCCCUGAAAGAUGAUCAGGUUGAUAGGUUCGAGGUGGAAGCAUGGUGACAUGUGGAGCUGACGAAUACUAAUAGAUCG
rnacentral:rRNA from 1 species